rnacentral:lncRNA from 1 species
AACGACCAUUGAACGGCAUGUCCUGAUUUGCGGUGGACGUAAACAAGCGGUGUCUGAAAAACACACGGUCGACGAGUCGAAAGAGAGCAACGCUAACGGUAAAAACACUCUGGAUUAACACAAGGCUUUAUAUAUUGUCACGAAUAUUGUGUACGAAUGUUGCAUCUUGUUUUUGGUGAGAGUAAACUCGAGUAUUUUUGUUCUGCACGUUCCGCAUGUCCUCCUUAAGUAACUGUGUUACUCUUCCAUCAUAAAGCCAGCGACUUCUGUGGGAUGUUUUUGCGAUAAUGUCCUUCCAGAGGAUCCGGCGACUGAGGGUUUUGAAGUUCCUUUGGUUGGAUAGUUGGAUUCGAAAGAACGUUCCUCCAUUGACACCACUCUGCACCAAAGCCAAUAAUGUAAAGAAGCCUAUCAGAUAUACAAGUAUAAGUAAGUUAUGAUUUUUAUUGCACUUUGACUUUUUGUUGUGUGGUGUCUUA